rnacentral:tRNA from 1 species
GUUUUAAUAGUUUAAAGAAAACAUUGAUUUUGUAUAUCAAAUAUAUAACAUAAAUAUUAUUUAAAAUU